AGGAGUGGAGGGAAGAAGGGACUCAACUGAAUAAAGCCAUAAGGUAUAGUGCUGGGACGGACAGAAAAACGUGAGAACCUCCAUGUUCAGCUCCCACAAAUCACCAGAGGGGCCAUCAGGACUGUACAGAUGUGCUUUUGUGUGCCACAGGCUGCAGGACUUCCCUCAGCUCUGAGCUGAAUCCACUGGAGUGCCUCACACCUUCCGUCCUUGGAUUAAGUUGCCCGUUAGUACCUCUCGUUCCACUUGCAGAGAACCUGAUUCUUUUACUGUUUCUCAGUGAAGUGGCUUUAACUCAGUCAAAAAACGUGCUUGAUACUUAGGCCAUUCUGGGGUCAGAAGAGAGACAACAUCUGGUAUAAAAUAAUGGAAAUACCUCAUCUACUGGGUUGUACUCCUUUUCCCUUAGUGGUUACUUCUGAGAGCAGGAGAUGGCUAUAAUUUCAGGAUUAUUCUCCCCAGUGCUGUCACUUGGAAUAGCCUGCGUUUCCAAACGUCGUUCUCAGAUUGAAGUGAUGCACAGGAGACAGAGGGAGGCCAGGUUAUCAUAGCAUUGGCUUCCAGCAAAGCUUCAACAGCACAGCCUCCUCCUGCCCCACCGGCUGGCUUGGCCACAGAAGAGUCAACCCUGAGUGGACCUGAAUGUGAAGAGCCUGUGUAUUCCUUCUCCUAUUCACAGAUAAACUGAAUGUUUGACCCAACUCAUUGGAAGAGAAGUGGCAGAUGGAUGAUGCACGUACAGGCAAUUACUAUAACGACAGCCAUUACCCUAUCAGUGAUGGAAAGAUGUAUUCCUAGGGAGAAAAAGGGAGAGAUGUGAAGUGAGUUGUUGAGACGAGGGUGUAUAUUUGGAUAAUGUUUUGUCAGGAUGAAUUCAGAGUUAUACAAGUGCACGCAGCAUCUUAAAGCUGGAACUUUGUCUAAAGACUAGGCAUGCUGAUUUGCUGCAUUUUAGCAGUGGUAUCAAGAUAAAAUGCAAUUUAAGUAAUAUAAUGUAUUGAUUCCAAGCAGCGUUAUUUUACUAAUUCAAAGACAAGGUUGAUUUCAGGUCUCCUACCAGUCAUCUUUUCUCACAUCAGGACACUGUGUUAUUCUUAACCAAUCAACAACUUAUUCAUUCAUCUAGAAACACAUGCAUGUAUAAUCAACCUUUCAUCAGGAUCCAAUUACACUCCACGAAAUAUUUUCAGUGAAUACUAAAUUUACUGGCAAAAAAAAAAAGAAAAAAAAAUCCCCGUGGAAUUCUUCAAACAGGAUGCCAGAAGUCCUGGCCUGGUUUAACCAACAGCUCCUUCUGAAGUUAACAGGGAGAUCACCAUCCACUUGGACAGUUCAUUUAUUAGUCAUCUAUACAUGCCCCAGUGGGUCAUGAAUGUUAUCACCUGUGGGAGGUGUUUGCUUCUUUCUGGUCUGUAUAAAGAUAGAGUAAAUGAUGAU
rnacentral:lncRNA from 7 species